GCGUCGGUGGUGCAACGGUUUAGCACAUGCUUUCGGAAAGAGUAAGGAUCUGGGUUUAGAUCCCGGCUGACUCA